rnacentral:rRNA from 1 species
GAUGAACGCUAGCGGCAGGCUUAAUACAUGCAAGUCGAGGGACAGCACAGGUAGCAAUACUGGGUGGUAACCGGCAAACGGGUGCGGAACACGUACACAACCUUCCUUUAAGUGGGGGAUAGCCCAGAGAAAUUUGGAUUAAUACCCCGUAACACAGUGGUGUGGCAUCACACUACUGUUAUAGCUACGGCGCUUAAUGAUGGGUGUGCGUCUGAUUAGAUAGUUGGCGAGGUAACGGCUCACCAAGUCUACGAUCAGUAGCUGAUGUGAGAGCAUGAUCAGCCACACGGGCACUGAGACACGGGCCCGACUCCUACGGGAGGCAGCAGUAAGGAAUAUUGGUCAAUGGACGCAAGUCUGAACCAGCCAUGCCGCGUGAAGGAUUAAGGUCCUCUGGAUUGUAAACUUCUUUUAUUUGGGACGAAAAAGGGUCUUUCUAGACCAAC